AAGGUGGACGGCGGUGGCGGCGGUGGCG
rnacentral:piRNA from 1 species